UACAGAGGGUGCAAGCGUUGCUCGGAAUUAUUGGGCGUAAAGAGCGCGUAGGCGGUCCGAUAAGUCGGCUGUGAAAGUCAGGGGCUCAACCCUUGGAAGCCGGCCGAUACUGUCGGACUAGAGUCCGGAAGAGGCGAGUGGAAUUCCCGGUGUAGCGGUGAAAUGCGCAGAUAUCGGGAGGAACACCAAUGGCGAAGGCAGCUCGCUGGGACGGUACUGACGCUGAGGCGCGAAAGCGUGGGGAGCAAACAGG
rnacentral:rRNA from 1 species